AAUUUCACCUCCACAUGGGUGGUCACACCAAUCCCAGACGAGCCCCCAAAUGAAAGACUCUGAGAAGAGCCCCUCACUCAGGCCUCAAGACAAUAGCGGACAUCCAAGAACUCACAAGAGACC
rnacentral:pre_miRNA from 7 species